rnacentral:rRNA from 1 species
AAUUUGGAAAUUACUAUUAUAUGUGGUAAAGAGGGGUAUUAAUUUUUAUUAUAAAAGAUAUUUGUUAUGGUGAUAGUAUAAAGUACUGUGAAGGAGGGUUGAAAAAGUGACAAUAAAUUUACUUAUAAGUAAAUUUAUUGUACCUUUUGUAUUAGGGUUUAACAAAAAAGUUUAAAGCUUUAAACUUCCCGAAGUUUAUUGAGCUAUUUAUUAUUAAGAGGGUAGUUUUAGAUAUUUUCAAUAAUAUUUAUAGAAAUGAAAUUUUAAUCGAAAUUAAAGAUAUCUGGUUAUGAGUAAUAAAAUUAUACAUUUUUCCAUAAGUUAGUUACAUUAAUGAAUUUAUGGAUUUAACUUUCAGGGAUAAGCUUGAAAGUAAGUCUUAUAGUAUAAGAUAAGGUUAAGAAGGUUUAUAAUUUACUUAUUUUGUAAUAAAAAAUUUUAAUUUUUAAAAUUAUUAGAUUUAAGCUGUUUUAAAUAACUAAAAAUUAAAGGGAUUGAUGUUAAAAUUAGUAUAAUAAAUUUUAAAAUAGGUAUUUAAAUAAAUAUAAUUAAGUAAUUAAAAAAGAAUGAAUUCGGCAAAAAAGGACUUAUGAAUGUUUAUCAAAAACAUUGUAUCUUGGUGAGAUAAGAUAUAAAACCUGCUCAAUGUAUUAUAAAUUGCUGUGGUAUUGUGACUAUACAAAGGUAUUGUAAUAAGGCUUUAAUUGGGUGCUAAGAGAAUGGUUUUACAUAGGAAAGCUUUAUUCUUUUUUAUAUUAGAAGUUAGUAUGAAGAUGAAAAAAUCUUCAUGGUAUUUUGGGACAAGAAGACCCUAUGAAUUUGUUUAAAGUAAUUUAAUUAACUUUAAUAAUUUUAUUUUAAUUGGUUGGGGUGAUUUUUUAAGAUUAAGUAUCUUAAAAAGAAGGUUAUUAGGCCCAUUAAUAAUGAGGAUUUGAAUAAAAUACUCUAGGGAUAACAGCGUGAUAAUUUUGGAUAGUUCAUAUAGAUAAAAUAGUUUGCGACCUCGAUGUUGGAUUAAGAUUCUUAUGUGAUGCAGGAGUUACAAGAGGAAGUUUGCUCAACUUUUAAAUUCUUACAUGAUCUGAGUUCAGACCGGCGUGAGUCAGGUCGGUUUCUAUCUAGAUAGAUAUGAAAAUUUUUAUAGUACGAAAGGAAUUAAUAAUUGAAAGUGUUUUUAUAAUGUUUAUAG